rnacentral:misc_RNA from 1 species
AUUUUGUUAUUUUAGUGUUCUAAUGACAAACUUAUCAAAUUUAGUUUUAAAUUUUCUUUUAAUACUCUCUAAAAAAUAUAUUUAAAGAAGUGAUUUUCUCAAUAGUAACUCCAACAGAAGUGCCAAACAAACCCUUGGCCCUACCAAGAAAUUCAUAUUCAGUCACAUCCACCAAAAAGCAUUUACCAUUGUUUUGGGAUUCACCCAAAAAAGAUGUAAAAUCCCUAAGGAUCAAUUAGGAUACAGCAAAGUAUAACCUAAAAUGAAGAAAAAAAAAACUGAAAAUAUUGUAUGCAUUAAAUGUUGGGUAGAAAUUUGUAGAGCACAUUAGGUUAGAUGA